GGAAAAGACAGGUUCCGAAUACAGAGGUCUAUGUCAAAUUAUAAAAAUGGGACAAUGCUUUAAAGGCAAAGCACAGGGCAUUAGGAGCCAGAGCGUGUAUCAGAGAGACCUGUCACUAUCUGAUGGUGGUAGGGCGUGAAGUUGAGCUAAGAUCUGAGGGAGGAAAAGCAGCGAGUUAGGCGUGGGGUAGAGGUGUGGGUGAGCUUCCCAGGCAGAGGCGGCAGCACAUGCACAGACUCUGUGGCAGGAGGGUCCAUGGCACCUCCAGGGAACUGAAAGCACGAGAGUGGCUGGGGCCUGGAGACUGAGGAGGGUCUGGAGUGGCUCCAAGUGUAAGCGGGGAACAGUCACACGGAAGCUUGCAAGAUCACUGACGACUCGGGUUUUAUCUAAACAGCCUAGUUACAGGACUCCAUAUGGUUCUGGAAAUACAAAUGUGAAAGGAACAGUCUUUGCUUUUUGGAGUCUACUGGAAGAGAUGGACAUACAAACUAACCUAACCUGACACACUAUUAGGGAAAGUUUCCAUAAGCUGCUGUGAGAGGAAGAAAAAAUACCAGGAAGAUUUUCCAAAGGAAGAGCCAUUGAAGGCUUGAAGGAAGAGUUGAGAUUGCCCAGACACAUGGGUCAACAUGUGUCAUAGAAGGCAGGCAUUAAAAACAUGGCAUAUUUGGAAGAGGGUCGUGAAUGAGUGGAGAAAGAUAAAAGUCUUGCAUCAGGAGGCUUUUUUAUUCCUCAGAGUCUGCAUUUUGGGAUGGAAAAUUGUGUUGGCUAUGCAAGGAGAGACACUAUGAAUGAGGGAGCUAUAUUUCCAAGACUCCCAUUUCUCCUGGCUUCCAAGGAGGCUGGUGAGGAGGCACGGCCGAUCACCGAAGGACCAGGUGAGGGGCUGAAUCGCAGUCUCUCUCUCCUAUCUCUCUGCUCAGAGCAGCAUUUGCAGCAGUAGCUGCUGAGUCUUCUCCAUGGCUCCAGGUCCUGCCAGGUCUCAUUUGCUGGUGCCCCAAGAAGACUUGGGAAAUGAAGGGCAACAAAGCCAGAGCAAACUCAUGAAAUACACUUUGGCCUCAAGAAGAAAGCUUUUGAAAUCUGUGAAGUGUGAUUUCAGAUGUCAGCGUGCUUUGGGGGUUGGGAUGAGCAAGUUCCACUCCUCUCCUUUGGAAAGCUGGGCAGCGUUUGGAGAAAUCAUCAGUGUAUCAGAAAACACGCAUCUCUAUGAUCUAUCCUGAAUCCAAAUAGGAAAAAAUGAAAUGAGUGCUUUUCCCCCAUUCAGAAAUCUUUUUUAUUGCACCAUGAAGAAAUAAAUGUCUACCAAAGGGAAAUGAAGAGGAGCUAAGCGGAGAAUCUAAUUGCCCACUUCAAUCACUCCCACACAAAAUGCCUGGCUAAAGGAUGGGCAGGCAGAGCAGCAGCAUUUUGGCAAAAAUUUUAAAUAAAAAGGGAAAAAAUUGUUCCAGCAGGAGUUCUGUAGAAAAAUGGAGACAGCUGCUGCAUUUUCUCCAGCCCGCUAUCUCUUUCAGCCAGACCAAAGACAAUCCAGCUCUUGGCUUAAUUAAUCACUUGCUGGUUAUGAUUGUGGAGGAAAGUGGGGCUCACUAUUGCUCUCUUAGCCUAGGAGCAAAAUUUCCAAAGAGAAGUGGAAUGUGUAUCAAUGGAGGAAAAGAAACUCUUCCCAAGAGACCAGAAUGGGAUUCUUUCUAGUGUUUCCUCCUCAGUGGCUUUCACUUUCAUUUUAAGGCAAGUUUGCACAGAGCCCAUUCUCCAUUCAGUCCAACCUCUAAGCACCCACAUAAACUCAAACUCAGAUUAACAAUACUAUCUCUUUUUUUUUGAGGAAGAUUAGCCCUGAGCUAACAUCUGCUGCCAAUCCUCCUCUUUUUGCUGAGGAAGACUGGCCCUGAGCUAACAUCCAUGCCCAUCUUGCUCUACUUUAUAUGUAGGACGCCUACCAUAGUGUGGCUUGCCAAGCAGUGCCAUGUCCACACCCAGGAUCUGAAACAGCGAACCCCAGACUGCCAAAGCGGAAUGUGCAAACUUAACCUUUGCGCCACCAGGCCGGCCCCUGAUGAAACUGUCUUAAAGUUGUGUCCUAAUCUCUCUUUAAAAUUUCCAAUUCCUCAUUCAAAGAGUUGAUGAGAUUCUCUCUCCUCCAUGAGGUCCUCCUUGAUUAAUUCAGACACCCACAUGAUCUGAACACCUCAGGGCCAGGGUAAACUCAGCCUGAGGAAGAAUCAUGGGACCUCAUGGAGAUCAAUCCUGAGAGUUGAAAGCACAAGGAUAGAGCCAGUCAGAGGCAAGGAAGCCAGAGGUCAGUUUUGAAAAGCAGCCCAGAGUCAGACUUGAAUGCAAUAUAAGGGCUAUAGUUAGGACACAAGGCUGUGACUAAGAACUUGGAACUACACAAUUAAAUCAGGAACCUAGGUUUAAUGCUAAGAGGGCCAGGUCAGGAUAUUGACCUUGAAAGAGAUGAACUCCGCGGGGUCCACCCUGGUUGCUGGCACAGUGUUGUGGAAUGAGAGGGUUGGAGCCCAUGAGGUUCUUGAACACCUCUUCUUGCACAGAGUACUAAUUAAUGCAUUUUUCUGCUUUCUUAUGUAACCCUAAUAAACCAGGGGUUUGUUUCCUUAAGGAGGCCAAGUUGGAGAAGCUCAAUUGCUGUCAAAAUAUAAAUAAAAAAGAAAUCCAUUUUUAACCUGC
rnacentral:lncRNA from 1 species